rnacentral:lncRNA from 1 species
CGCACGUGAUUGAUCUUGAGGAGAGGCUUGACAGGGAGAUGCAACAAACUGAAGCUAUGCGUGAAGAACUGGCUGCCAUUAAGAAGAAGUCUGAAGAAGCUGAAGCUGCACGCAACAAGGAGCACCAACUGCUGCUCAAGAAAAGUGAAGAAAAUGAGGCGAGGUAUGCUCAUCUGAUAGAGACGUUAGGUAAAAUUUCAGGCAAGUAGUUGCUGGGAGAUGGACUUACAUUUUGGUGAGUUGGAGAUGAUAAUCUUUUUGUCUGCUGGGAGAUAGUUGAUACUUGAUGAAUUUGGAUUGCGUACAACCUUUUGUUUGCUGGAAUCCAGUUUGGUGGGAUAGAAUAGUGUGCAGGGAGAUAGUUGAUACUUGUGAUAACUUGGUGUUGUGUUGUAAUGUGCUGGGCUAUCGUGAAUCUUUUUGGCGGAUCUUUUUGGUGCUAUAUGUUACAUGUAUGUACCGGAGCAGCAUGGCGUAUUCUACUGAAAGAAUUGUAUUGGGCUUAACGAAUUCUCAAAGUAUUCUUAUGUUAAAUGAAAUGUAUUGGUGGGUUAAAUGAUUGCUCGAAAUGAUUCGAACAAUCUGGAACAUUUUAUUGGAUUGAAUCGUUGAAUGUCUGGUUGGGGUGGAUCAACGGAGUCCCGGCCUAAGUAAUACCUGGAUCCUGCUGUGAAUUAAUUGGGCCAAAACUAAAUAAAGCCCGGAAAAGGCCUUGACCAAAAGGCCAGCCUCUGCAAAAAGGCCAUGGACCAAAAAAUAAAUCAUAAAAAUAUAGCAGGCCAAAGUUUCAUUGUUAGGAG